rnacentral:rRNA from 1 species
ACCGCAUGGUGGGUGUUGGAAAGAUUUAUCGGUUUUGGAUGGACUCGCGGCCUAUCAGCUUGUUGGUGAGGUAAUGGCUCACCAAGGCGACGACGGGUAGCCGGCCUGAGAGGGUGACCGGCCACACUGGGACUGAGACACGGCCCAGACUCCUACGGGAGGCAGCAGUGGGGAAUAUUGCACAAUGGGCGCAAGCCUGAUGCAGCGACGCCGCGUGAGGGAUGACGGCCUUCGGGUUGUAAACCUCUUUCAGUAGGGAAGAAGCGAAAGUGACGGUACCUGCAGAAGAAGCACCGGCUAACUACGUGCCAGCAGCCGCGGUAAUACGUAGGGUGCGAGCGUUAUCCGGAAUUAUUGGGCGUAAAGAGCUCGUAGGCGGUUUGUCGCGUCUGUCGUGAAAGUCCGGGGCUUAACCCCGGAUCUGCGGUGGGUACGGGCAGACUAGAGUGCAGUAGGGGAGACUGGAAUUCCUGGUGUAGCGGUGGAAUGCGCAGAUAUCAGGAGGAACACCGAUGGCGAAGGCAGGUCUCUGGGCUGUAACUGACGCUGAGGAGCGAAAGCAUGGGGAGCGAACAGGAUUAGAUACCCUGGUAGUCCAUGCCGUAAACGUUGGGCACUAGGUGUGGGGACCAUUCCACGGUUUCCGCGCCGCAGCUAACGCAUUAAGUGCCCCGCCUGGGGAGUACGGCCGCAAGGCUAAAACUCAAAGGAAUUGACGGGGGCCCGCACAAGCGGCGGAGCAUGCGGAUUAAUUCGAUGCAACGCGAAGAACCUUACCAAGGCUUGACAUGUUCUCGAUCGCCGUAGAGAUACGGUUUCCCCUUUGGGGCGGGUUCACAGGUGGUGCAUGGUUGUCGUCAGCUCGUGUCGUGAGAUGUUGGGUUAAGUCCCGCAACGAGCGCAACCCUCGUUCCAUGUUGCCAGCACGUAAUGGUGGGGACUCAUGGGAGACUGCCGGGGUCAACUCGGAGGAAGGUGAGGACGACGUCAAAUCAUCAUGCCCCUUAUGUCUUGGGCUUCACGCAUGCUACAAUGGCCGGUACAAUGGGUUGCGAUACUGUGAGGUGGAGCUAAUCCCAAAAAGCCGGUCUCAGUUCGGAU